rnacentral:tRNA from 1 species
UUGUAGUUCAGUGGUAGAACGCCUGACCGUUAAUCAGGAUGUCGUGGGUUCGAUCCCCACCUU